UACGAAGGGUGCAAACGUUGCUCGGAAUCAUUGGGCGUAAAGAGCUCGUAGGCGGUCUGUCACGUCGGCUGUGAAAACCCGAGGCUCAACCUCGGGCCUGCAGUCGAUACGGGCAAACUAGAGUACUGCAGGGGAGACUGGAAUUCCUGGUGUAGCGGUGAAAUGCGCAGAUAUCAGGAGGAACACCGGUGGCGAAGGCGGGUCUCUGGGCAGUAACUGACGCUGAGGAGCGAAAGCGUGGGGAGCGAACAGG
rnacentral:rRNA from 1 species